rnacentral:rRNA from 1 species
AACGAACGCUGGCGGCAUGCCUAACACAUGCAAGUCGAACGAGACCUUCGGGUCUAGUGGCGCACGGGUGCGUAACGCGUGGGAAUCUGCCCUUGGGUUCGGAAUAACAGUUGGAAACGACUGCUAAUACCGGAUGAUGACGUAAGUCCAAAGAUUUAUCGCCCAAGGAUGAGCCCGCGUAGGAUUAGCUAGUUGGUGAGGUAAAGGCUCACCAAGGCGACGAUCCUUAGCUGGUCUGAGAGGAUGAUCAGCCACACUGGGACUGAGACACGGCCCAGACUCCUACGGGAGGCAGCAUGGGGAAUAUUGGACAAAUGGGCGAAAGCCUGAUCCAGCAAUGCCGCGUGAGUGAUGAAGGCCUUAGGGUUGUAAAGCNCUUUUACUCGGGACGAUAAUNACGGUACCGAGAGGAAUAAGCCCGGCUAACUCCGUGCCAGCAGCCGCGGUAAAGUA